rnacentral:rRNA from 1 species
UUCUGGCUCAGGACGAACGCUGGCGGCGUGCUUAACACAUGCAAGUCGAGCGGGGAUCAUAGCGGAAGCCUUCGGGACGGAAGGUAUGAUCUAGCGGCGGACGGGUGAGUAACGCGUGAACAAUCUGUCCCGGACAGGGGGAUAACACUUGGAAACAGGUGCUAAUACCGCAUGAGACCACGGGUAGGCAUCUACCUGAGGUAAAAGGAGGAAUCCGGUCCGGGGUGAGUUCGCGUCCGAUUAGAUAGUUGGUGAGGUAACGGCCCACCAAGUCGACGAUCGGUAGCCGACCUGAGAGGGUGAUCGGCCACAUUGGAACUGAGAGACGGUCCAAACUCCUACGGGAGGCAGCAGUGGGGAAUAUUGGGCAAUGGGCGAAAGCCUGACCCAGCAACGCCGCGUGAGUGAAGAAGGCUUUCGGGUUGUAAAGCUCUGUUAUGGAGGACGAAGGAAGUGACGGUACUCCAUAAGGAAGCCCCGGCUAACUACGUGCCAGCAGCCGC